UCUAAGCAGUAAGGCUGAGUAUUAGGCAAAUCCGGUACUCGUUAAGGCUGAGCUGUGAUGGGGAGAAGACAUUGUGUCUUCGAGUCGUUGAUUUCACACUGCCGAGAAAAGCCUCUAGAUAGAAAAUAGGUGCCCGUACCGCAAACCGACACAGGUAGUCAAGAUGAGAAUUCUAAGGUGAGCGAGCGAACUCUCGUUAAGGAACUCGGCAAAAUGACCCCGUAACUUCGGGAGAAGGGGUGCUCUUUAGGGUUAACGCCCAGAAGAGCCGCAGUGAAUAGGCCCAAGCGACUGUUUAUCAAAAACACAGGUCUCUGCUAAACCGUAAGGUGAUGUAUAGGGGCUGACGCCUGCCCGGUGCUGGAAGGUUAAGAGGAGUGGUUAGCUUCUGCGAAGCUACGAAUCGAAGCCCCAGUAAACGGCGGCCGUAACUAUAACGGUCCUAAGGUAGCGAAAUUCCUUGUCGGGUAAGUUCCGACCCGCACGAAAGGCGUAACGAUUUGGGCACUGUCUCAACGAGAGACUCGGUGAAAUCAUAGUACCUGUGAAGAUGCAGGUUACCCGCGACAGGACGGAAAGACCCCGUGGAGCUUUACUGUAGCCUGAUAUUGAAAUUCGGCACAGCUUGUACAGGAUAGGUAGGAGCCUUUGAAACGUGAGCGCUAGCUUACGUGGAGGCGCUGGUGGGAUACUACCCUAGCUGUGUUGGCUUUCUAACCCGCACCACUUA
rnacentral:rRNA from 1 species